GAUCCAAUAGACGGCCGUAGUCAUCANAUGGUGUAUGGUUCUAANGUCUCACNCUGGCCGCUCGUCUGUUACAGCCUAAUACAUGCAAGUCGAGCGAAUGGAUAUAAGAGCUUGCUCUUAUGAAGUUAGCGGCGGACGGGUGAGUAACACGUGGGUAACCUGCCCAUAAGACUGGGAUAACUCCGGGAAACCGGGGCUAAUACCGGAUAACAUAUUUGAACCGCAUAGGUUCGAAAUUGAAAGGCGGCUUCGGCUGUACACUUAUAGGAUAGGACCCGCGUCGCAUAUAGCUAGUUGGUGAGUGUAACGGCUCACCAAGGCAACGAUAGCGUAGCCGACCUAGAGAGGGUGAUACGGCCACACUGNGGACUGAGACAUCGGCUCCAGACUCCUACGGGAGUGCAGCAGUAGGGAAUCUUCCGCAAUGGACGAAAGUCUGACGGAAUCAACGCCGCGUGAGUAGAUGAAGGCUUUCGGGUCGUAAAACUUCUGUAUGUUAGGGACAGAACAAGUGCUACGUUGAAUAAUGCUGGCACCUUGACGGUACCUAACCAGAAAGUCCACGGCUAACUACGUGUCCAGCAGCCGCGGUAAUACGUAGGUGGCAAGCGUUAUCCGGAAUUAUNGGCGCCGUAAACAGCCGCGCGCCAGGGCGCGNCCUACUAAAAAGUACUGAUGUAGAAAAGCCCCACGGGCCUCCAACCCGCUCGGGAGCGGGUCCACUGGGCAAACUUGGGAGACUUGAAGCUNGCCGNAACGAAGGGAACAGUGGGGACAUUUCCCAUUGGUGUAAGCGGGUGAAAAUNGGCGUCAGANAANUGGAGAGAACACAAUGGGACGAAAAGCGAAAAUACUGGCUACGAGAACUAGAACCUGAGGCGCAAAGACGUNGUGGAACACACGGAUAAAACCCGGAGCCACNCNGAACACAANCAC
rnacentral:rRNA from 1 species